rnacentral:tRNA from 1 species
GUUCCUGUGGUGUAGUCCGGUCAAGCAUUCUGCCCUUUCAAGGCAGAGAUCCCGGGUUCAAAUCCCGGCAGGAGCA